rnacentral:lncRNA from 1 species
CGCAUCCCCGAGCACUUGCUGCGUUACACUGACGACGAUAACGCUGAUAACUUGCAGCAGCAAAUUUGUACGCUCGAGGACCAGAAACCGAGCUUGCGAAUGCACUCGAAAUGUCUCGCAACAGCAAAGCUGAUAACAAGGUAGAGGUAUACGUACUAGCGACGUUCUAAAACAAAACGAGCGGAAGGGACAAGUCAAAACUUGUGCGUGCUGUUUAUUGUCUCCGGCUUGAGGUCGUGAAAUUUAUACCAGCCGUUUUAAACAAUUUUACGGAGUAAAGAAGAUAGCUUCCCACGUUAAUUCAUCGUCCAUCGUCUAAAAUGAUAAGAAACGAGGUGCAAUAGAAAUUGACCCCCUGCAGGAACGGCAACGGCCUCAUAACUGCACCAACAGCGACAACAAUGAAACCGCCUUGUUCGGAAAUAAUGAAAUUAAUCGACUAUUCUUACUUUGCAGACAGUACUAAAAUCUUAAACAUUUAGUCCAAUAGAUAUAUACUUUAGAUAAUAGAUAAUUGUCACACUGCUACGAUAUAGUUACAACGAUAAAUAUGUUAUUCAACAGGUGAACAGCUUUCUCAAUGUUGAAUCAAAUGUAUAAACGUUUACGUUCCUUUGAAAUCAUGACCCGGAUCAAUUAAGACCUUUAACUACGAUGAUUAUCUGCAGGAAUAAUCGCUGUAAACUCUACUAAAGACUACAUCUCUUCUGCAAGAGAUUUUCCCCUGGGUCCAAUUACCUUACUACAAUUUCAAGACUUGUGAAUUGUCUUUGUAAAGAGUUCUAUUUCUUCCUGGAUCAAUCUUAUAAAAUAUAAAUAUUACCAGAGUCAUUCACAAGCUUCGUUGCACUUAAAUGCUACCAAACUUUGCCUAAGUUUAUCUUUUAUUUUCAGAUAUCCCCCUCGAUCAUGAGGAGCAUUGUUUGAAGCCAGAAUGCCACACGCAAAAAGACAGAAAGGAAAACUGAAGGUCUUAGGAUGAAGAAAAAACGUGGGAAGGUCGAAACACUUUGCACGUUAAGAAGAACGCGCAAUAAAUAUUUUAAUUGAGCAUGAAUAAGAAUGUUGUGAAGCGAUUUCGUAUUUACGAAGGUUAUCGAUUAUACAAAGUGUCUUCAUCGUUAUACAAGAAUGGACUCGAUGUGUUCGAACCGAAAAAAGGAACUGAAUUAUUCACUGCGAUGCUUCUGAAUUUUAUUAAAUCACGUCCGCGAGAUUUACCGUGGUAUUUCAAUGGAACCACCUACCCUCAUUUUGUCGUCGAUUGUUUGUUCAAAGGCAACAUCGCAGACAUUCAGAAUAAAAAGUGUACGUCGCCGACUCUCCGGGCGUAACCUUCGUGCAUAGGGAAGCAGAAUACAAAGGCGCAAAAAAAGAAAUAGCAGAUCUCCGAUGUCAUUAACACUAUUAUUGAGUCACCUUCUUCAACACAAAAGUAUCAGAAAUAGUUGGGAGGCUUAAGGACGAAUAUGUGGUGGAAAA